GGGGCGGUAGCUCAGCUGGUCAGAGCAGGGGACUCAUAAUCCCUUGGUCGCGGGUUCGAGCCCCGCCCGCCCUA
rnacentral:tRNA from 1 species